ensembl:snoRNA small nucleolar RNA, C/D box 10
GCUCUGUGAUGAGCCCAUGCGUGUCAUCUGAGCCCGCUUCCCGUCCUGAGCCUGGGGGAGUGUUUUGCUCCUUGGGGCUGCCGGCUGGCUGAGCGGGUCGCGGGCGGAGGAUCAACCUUGUCUUCUGAGAGC